AAAGAGUUAGUUUAUGCAAAAUAUUAGGUUUGAAACUUAGGGAAAAUUUAUAGUUAUUCUUUG
rnacentral:tRNA from 1 species